GAUUAUUGAUGAAAAUAGCCAGGUCUGAACAUCAGAUGACCUUCUAGUUUCCCUGAUGCAUGAUCUCUGUAGUCUGAGA
ensembl:snoRNA